GGCAAAAUUGAUGUUAUUUCAGUAUCUAUAUACAAUCUCAUGAGAAAAGUGGACGGAAAAUGCUACUCAGACUCUUCAAAACCAUAGGUGAAAUACAGAAGUUAAGAAGACAACAUACAAGGUAAUGCUGCUAAGUUAUUGACAAUCUAGUAAAAGAAAUUUCACUUUUAGAAUGCUAAGGUCCUUAGCUUUUCUUUGAUUGGCAAAUCAACUACUCCAACUUCCAACGAUUCACUUGCAGAUUCUCCUUCAAUUUGCCUGCCAUAUGUUAAGGGCAAGAAUGAACAGCAAUUGAAAUUUUCUCCUGGAAAACUGUAAGUGCAGACUUGCUCAAGAACGUCUGUCCUUGUGUUGUAAGAAACCACAGUUCCUGGAAGCUGCAAAUACAAUGUUUCUGAAUCUUCACAGACGGCUAUAGGAGAUGCAUCAUAGGGCUCCCACUUCCUCUGGCCAAGAUGGAAGUAAGUUUCUUGAUGCUUCAGAUUCAGGUCUUGAUGAUUGACACUACGAGCUAAUCCCCACCUGAAUGUUUUGCGAUCGUAGAUGUUGUAGUUUGAGUAAUAGUCAUGAUCAUAUUCACUGAGAAGAAUCCAGGUGUGAACUCCUUCAAAAUCGGUAUAAGUAUAGUUAGCUCGCCCUUGAGACUCCGAUAAGCAUCGCUUGUAAGCCAAAGCGGAUUGCCAGCACCAGUCCUCUGAGAAAUUUGGCAGUUCAAUCAGUUCACAGUGAUCAUCUUCAACCUGAUACACCA
rnacentral:misc_RNA from 1 species